CAGCCGUAAACUAUGCGCGUUAGGUGUGCUGGUGACCACGUGUCACCGGGGUGCCGAAGGGAAACCGUGAAACGUGCCGCCUGGGAAGUACGGUCGCAAGGCUGAAACUUAAAGGAAUUGGCGGGGGGAGGCACCACAACAGGUGGAGCCUGCGGUUUAAUUGGAUUCAACGCCGGACAUCUCACCGGAUAAGACAGCUGAAUGAUUGUCAAUCUGAAGGUUUUACAUGACUAGCUGAGAGGAGGUGCAUGGCGUCAGUGACU
rnacentral:rRNA from 1 species